CAGGGCGUAGUAUAGUGGCAGUACGCAGUCCUCGGGCGACUGUAGCGGGUGUUCGAUUCACCCCGCCCUGA
rnacentral:tRNA from 1 species